GACGUUCCUGAAUCCAUGCAGAGAUUUCGUUAGACAUCAACCCAUUAGGGCUUAUCAGACUCCCAAGAUAAGUGAAGUU
rfam:Schistosoma mattheei strain Denwood, Zambia genome assembly, scaffold: SMTD_scaffold0004989